rfam:Rattus norvegicus chromosome 15, whole genome shotgun sequence.
GGGGAUUUAGCUCAGUGGUAGAGCACUUGCCUAGCAAGCACAAGGCUCUGGGUUCAGUCCCUAGCUCCG